rnacentral:scRNA from 1 species
AGGUGGGAGCGCGUCUCUGGGAUGUGGCAUGG